rnacentral:rRNA from 1 species
AGUUUGAUCAUGGCUCAGAUUGAACGCUGGCGGGAUGAUACAUGCAAGUCGAACGGCAGCACGGACUUUGGUCUGGUGGCGAGUGGCGAACGGGUGAGUAAUGUAUCGGAACGUGCCUAGUAGCGGGGAUAACUACGCGAAAGCGUAGCUAAUACCGCAUACCGCCCUUCGGGGGAAAGCGGGGACCUUCGGGCCUCGCACUAUUAGAGCGGCCGAUAUCGGAUUAGCUAGUUGGUGGGGUAACGGCUCACCAAGGCGACGAUCCGUAGCUGGUUUGAGAGGACGACCAGCCACACUGGGACUGAGACACGGCCCAGACUCCUACGGGAGGCAGCAGUGGGGAAUUUUGGACAAUGGGGAAAACCCUGAUCCAGCCAUCCCGCGUGUGCGAUGAAGGCCUUCGGGUUGUAAAGCACUUUUGGCAGGAAAGAAACGGCACGGGAUAAUACCCCCGUGCAACUGACGGUACCUGCAGAAUAAGCACCGGCUAACUACGUGCCAGCAGCCGCGGUAAUACGUAGGGUGCAAGCGUUAACUUGGAAUUACUGGGCGUAAAGCGUGCGCAGGGCGGUUCGGAAAGAAAGAUGUGAAAUCCCAGAGCUUAACUUUGGGAACUGCAUUUUUAACUACCGAGCUAGAGUGUGUCAGAGGGAGGUGGAAUUCCGCGUGUAGCAGUGAAAUGCGUAGAUAUGCGGAGGAACACCGAUGGCGAAGGCAGCCUCCUGGGAUAACACUGACGCUCAUGCACGAAAGCGUGGGGAGCAAACAGGAUUAGAUACUCCUGGUAGUCCACGCCCUAAACGAUGUCAACUAGUUGUUGGGGCCUUCUGGCCCGUAGCGCAGCUAACGCGUGAAGUUGACCGCCUGGGGAGUACGGUCGCAAGAUUAAAACUCAAAGGAAUUGACGGGGACCCGCACAAGCGGUGGAUGAUGUGGAUUAAUUCGAUGCAACGCGAAAAACCUUUACCUACCCUUGACAUGUCUGAAUCCUGAAGAGAUUUGGGAGUGCUCGCAAGAGAACCGGAACACAGGUGCUGCAUGGCUGUCGUCAGCUCGUGUCGUGAGAUGUUAAGUCCCGCAACGAGCGCAACCCUUGUCAUUAGUUGCUACGAAAGGGCACUCUAAUGAGACUGCCGGUGACAAACCGGAGGAAGGUGGGGAUGACGUCAGUCCUCAUGGCCCCUAUGGGUAGGGCUUCACACGUCAUACAAUGGUCGGGACAGAGGGUCGCCAACCCGCGAGGGGAGCCAAUCCCAGAAACCCGAUCGUAGUCCGAUCGCAGUCUGCAACUCGACUGCGUGAAGUCGGAAUCGCUAGUAAUCGGAUCAGCAUGUCGCGGUGAAUACGUUCCCGGGUCUUGUACACACCGCCCGUCACACCAUGGGGAGUGGGUUUUACCAGAAGUAGUUAGCCUAACCGUAAGGAGGGCGAUUACCACGGUAGGAUUCAUGACUGGGGUGAAGUCGUAACAAGGUAA